rnacentral:rRNA from 1 species
UACGAAGGGGGCUAGCGUUGCUCGGAAUCACUGGGCGUAAAGCGCACGUAGGCGGGUUUCUAAGUCAGGGGUGAAAUCCUGGAGCUCAACUCCAGAACUGCCUUUGAUACUGGCGAUCUCGAGUCCGGGAGAGGUGAGUGGAACUCCGAGUGUAGAGGUGAAAUUCGUAGAUAUUCGCAAGAACACCAGUGGCGAAGGCGGUUCUCUGGGCCUUACCUGACGCUGAGGAGCGAAAGCGUGGGGAGCGAACAGG